ACUGAAGUAGUUUGCCAUUUCCUUCUCCAAAGAAAAUGGAUUAGACGUGUUCUACUUGGCCCAUAAGGGCUGAACUAGGAACAAUAGCAGUACCAUAAGUGCACAGUAGGCGCUCUAGAAAUAUGUUAAAUGAAGGAGUGAAUGAAUUAUUUAAGUUACUUAAUCUCUCAGACUCAGUGUCUAUAGGAGACACAUAAUUCCAGGUCCUAACAAGAAUUCUGUGAGGUAGAUGCUGCUGCAAGAGGCAAAGAGGGACACACAGCCAUUAAGUGAG